UAAACGACUCUCGGCAACGGAUAUCUCGGCUCACGCAUCGAUGAAGAACGUAGCAAAAUGCGAUACUUGGUGUGAAUUGCAGAAUCCCGUGAACCAUCGAGUUUUUGAACGCAAGUUGCGCCCGAAGCCUUUUGGCCGAAGGCACGUCUGCCUGGGCGUCACAC
rnacentral:rRNA from 2 species